UGCUAUACUGCGACAUACAAAAUACCAACUUGUUGCCCGCGGCAACCACAAGUGAGGCAACAGCAUGCGGUUCAGGAGUCACGACCAUGACCAUGGUCGUGACACUACCUUUGUGUCCCCACCACCACAUCGCAAGUAGCGGCCUCUCAAGUACAGCCACUUCACACGGAAGAAGAUGAGGACACAAUCCAACCUCAAGAAGAUUUGGAGGUCGCACAUGGCAAUGUGGAGCCUGAAGAAAAAUUUGAGGAUGUGCCAGCUGAGACCGAGGACCAAGAUACAGAAGAUAGAGACAGCAUUCCAGAAGAAGACCAUGAGGAAGGACAAGGAAGAAGAGAAGAUGGAGAAAUGGAGGAAAUUGAUGACACCCUGGAUAGUCAGUGUUUUGUGACAGCCUAUGUCUUCUCAGUAUUGGUAAAAUUUCUUUAGUCUAUUUAGUUGCACUUUCCGUCUAAAUUAUAGAAUCCUACAGACAAAGUGGACAGUGGAUACAAAAAGAAGCCAGCUUGUCAGGAGGGUUAGUGAAAACUUAGACCAUUCCUAAUUAUUCGGACUCGGAAAAGAAUAUGUUUUCCAAAUAUCUGGCACAUACCAACCUCACGGCUGAAAGAAGCCUAUAGAGAAAAGACACUAACAGACAUUUGCCACGGCUACUACCUAGUAAUACAAGCAGGGCAAGUCACGAGUGAUGAGCCACCAAGCCAGCACCUCAAGAAAUCUGGAUCCAGAAGAUCGUCAGGCAAGCCAGGAUGAAGACGACUCGACUGCAAAGGAUAACGACAGGGAGGAAGAUGAGGACAUUACUUCCCAGGACACAAUCAGUGACCAGGAUGAUACUGGCUGGACUUCAAGAGCAAAAACUCCCUGAUUUCCAGCGAUGUCAACGAGGUCCCCGAAGCAGAGGCAGACAGCACCAGCAAGCUCUAGCAGAGCAAAAACUCCCUCAUUGCCAGCGAUGUCAACGAGGUCCCGGAGGCAGAGGCAGACGGCACCAGCAAGCUCUAGCAGAAGGACUGAAGAUCUCCAGAGAAGUACACGACUUCGAAGAUAAUGAGCUUCUAUAGUCCAGCCAUGGACUAUAUUUUGCACACUACAUUUUAUACAAAUGCACACAGUGUUUUAUUGAAGGAUGCUACUAACUCCAACUGGCAGAACCGAAGUAGUGGAAAAACCUGCAACCUUGCCUGUUAUAAGAUCAAAAGAGGACAAGUUUGAAAAAUUAAUUAAAAAGUAUCCUCUUGGUGUGGAGAACCACACCCUCAAAAAAAUGCCUUGCUGAGUCUGCUGUCCAUGGGCAACAUUUAUAUGAUCGGUGGAGGAAAUUGCAGAACAGGGUGCGAGUGCACUAUACAAUUGGAUUGCUUCAAGAUCAUCGGCCAAGUGAAGAGGAGGUGAGGAAAUGCAUUGGACUGCUAUGGAAGAACAAUCUACCAAGGAUCAAAGAAAUUUUAGAGCAAUGGAAGAAGUGAUUUCAGUGGAAACAGUGACAUUCGUUUUUUGUUGUUUUUAUUUGCCGUGGUUUGGCAUGACGGGGUUUGCUGAAUAAAUAUAAUUUCAUAAUUUUUUGGGACUGAUAAUGGGGUUUGUUCAAUAAAUGCACUUUCAUUAUUUUUUGGUGUUUUGGAUAAUUAGUUUGAUCUA